GAAACGUAGAAAGAUGCUUUCCACGAUCUAUAUUUCCUUUCCUCUUCAAUUGCUCUUUCUCUCUCCUUUAUCCUCUCUCUCGUUUUUUCAAAACCCAGCAUAUGAACAACAAUCAAGAACAACAAUCACAUAACCCAGAUUCUUUCAACCAUUAUCCAAACCCUAACGAUAUCUCACUCAAAUCCUUACCCACAAAACCCCCAAAUUGAAACCCCAAUAACAUGCAUCGAAUGAAAAUCAAAGCCAAGUGUUCUUACCUCCUUGCAAGCGGUGGAAUGGACUAGGGGAUUAGGGUUUCAGAUUUGAAACUCCUAAUUUCUUGAAGGUGAGCGGCGGCGGAUUCGUGUAUCUCGCAAUAACCGAAUCUUCUCCUCCUCUUUUUCUCUUCUUUUUUUGUGUUAAAUAUUUGUGUUCUUUUUUCGGUCCUUUGUUCAUUAGUUUUAGGCUUGAUUUAUAGUGAUUAAGUUUUGUUCGAAUUAGGAAAUCUGUUUAAUGUUUGAUUCAAAUAGGAAUUAGGAUUAAAUGUCUUAAUUGAUUUAGCAAUAAAGUUUGAUUCGAUUCGGUUGUGAAUUGAUUAGUUGUGAUAUUUUGUUUCCAA